rnacentral:rRNA from 1 species
AUGAACGCUAGCUACAGGCUUAACACAUGCAAGUCGAGGGGCAUCAGGAAGAAAGCUUGCUUUCUUUGCUGGCGACCGGCGCACGGGUGAGUAACACGUAUCCAACCUGCCCUUUACUCGGGGAUAGCCUUUCGAAAGAAAGAUUAAUACCCGAUAGCAUAAUGAUUCCGCAUGGUUUCAUUAUUAAAGGAUUCCGGUAAAGGAUGGGGAUGCGUUCCAUUAGGUUGUUGGUGAGGUAACGGCUCACCAAGCCUUCGAUGGAUAGGGGUUCUGAGAGGAAGGUCCCCCACAUUGGAACUGAGACACGGUCCAAACUCCUACGGGAGGCAGCAGUGAGGAAUAUUGGUCAAUGGGCGCUAGCCUGAACCAGCCAAGUAGCGUGAAGGAUGAAGGCUCUAUGGGUCGUAAACUUCUUUUAUAUAAGAAUAAAGUGCAGUAUGUAUACUGUUUUGUAUGUAUUAUAUGUAUAAGGAUCGGCUAACUCCGUGCCAGCAGCCGCGGUAAUACGGAGGAUCCGAGCGUUAUCCGGAUUUAUUGGGUUUAAAGGGAGCGUAGGUGGACUGGUAAGUCAGUUGUGAAAGUUUGCGGCUCAACCGUAAAAUUGCAGUUGAUACUGUCAGUCUUGAGUACAGUAGAGGUGGGCGGAAUUCGUGGUGUAGCGGUGAAAUGCUUAGAUAUCACGAAGAACUCCGAUUGCGAAGGCAGCUCACUGGACUGCAACUGACACUGAUGCUCGAAAGUGUGGGUAUCAAACAGGAUUAGAUACCCUGGUAGUCCACACAGUAAACGAUGAAUACUCGCUGUUUGCGAUAUACAGUAAGCGGCCAAGCGAAAGCAUUAAGUAUUCCACCUGGGGAGUACGCCGGCAACGGUGAAACUCAAAGGAAUUGACGGGGGCCCGCACAAGCGGAGGAACAUGAGGUUUAAUUCGAUGAUACGCGAGGAACCUUACCCGGGCUUAAAUUGCAGUGGAAUGAUGUGGAAACAUGUCAGUGAGCAAUCACCGCUGUGAAGGUGCUGCAUGGUUGUCGUCAGCUCGUGUCGUGAGAUGUUGGGUUAAGUCCCGCAACGAGCGCAACCCUUAUCCUCAGUAGCCAGCAAGUGAAGUUGGGCACUCUGUGGAGACUGCCAGGGAUAACCUGGAGGAAGGUGGGGAUGACGUCAAAUCAGCACGGCCCUUACGUCCGGGGCUACACACGUGUUACAAUGGGGGGUACAGAAGGCAGCUAGCGGGUGACCGUAUGCUAAUCCCAAAAUCCUCUCUCAGUUCGGAUCGAAGUCUGCAACCCGACUUCGUGAAGCUGGAUUCGCUAGUAAUCGCGCAUCAGCCACGGCGCGGUGAAUACGUUCCCGGGCCUUGUACACACCGCCCGUCACACCAUGGGAGUCAGUAACGCCCGAAGUCAGUGACCCAACCGUAAGGAGGGAGCUGCCGAAGGCGGGACCGAUAACUGGGGUG